rnacentral:rRNA from 1 species
UACAGAGGGUGCGAGCGUUAAUCGGAAUUACUGGGCGUAAAGCGCGCGUAGGCGGCUUUGCAAGUCGAGUGUGAAAUCCCCAGGCUUAACCUGGGAACUGCAUUCGAGACUGCAUAGCUAGAGUAUGGGAGAGGGUAGUGGAAUUCCCGGUGUAGUGGUGAAAUGCGUAGAUAUCGGGAGGAACACCAGUGGCGAAGGCGACUACCUGGCCUGUUCUUGACGCUGAGGCGCGAAAGCUAGGGGAGCAAACGGG